CGGAGGGGCUAGCGUUGUUCGGAAUGACUGGGCGUAAAGCGCGCGUAGGCGGAUCGGAAAGUUGGGGGUGAAAUCCCGGGGCUCAACCUCGGAAUGGCCUUCAAAACUCCUGGUCUUGAGUUCGAGAGAGGUGAGUGGAAUUCCGAGUGUAGAGGUGAAAUUCGUAGAUAUUCGGAGGAACACCAGUGGCGAAGGCGGCUCACUGGCUCGACACUGACGCUGAGGUGCGAAAGCGUGGGGAGCAAACAGGAUU
rnacentral:rRNA from 1 species